rnacentral:rRNA from 1 species
ACUCCUACGGGAGGCAGCAGUGGGAAGUAUUGCACAAUGGGGAAACCCUGAUGCAGCCAUGCCGCGUGUGUGAAGAAGGCCUUCGGUUGUAAGCACUUUCAGUAGGGAGGAAGGUAGUGUAGUUAACACCUGCAUUAUUUGACGUUACCUACAGAAGAAGCACCGGCUAACUCCGUGCCAGCAGCCGCGGUAAUACGGAGGGUGCGAGCGUUAAUCGGAAUUACUGGGCGUAAAGCGCAUGCAGGCGGCCUGUUAAGUCAGAUGUGAAAGCCCGGGGCUUAACCUCGGAAUUGCAUUUGAAACUGGCAGGCUAGAGUCUUGUAGAGGGGGUAGGAAUUUCAGGUGUAGCGGUGAAAUGCGUAGAGAUCUGAAGGAAUACCAGUGGCGAAGGCGGCCCCCUGGGACAAAGACUGACGCUCAGAUGCG